UGGGGAAUAUUGCACAAUGGGCGCAAGCCUGAUGCAGCCAUGCCGCGUGUGUGAAGAAGGCCUUCGGGUUGUAAAGUACUUUCAGUCGGGAGGAAGGUGUCAAGGUUAAUAACCUUGGCUAUUGACGUUACCGACAGAAGAAGCACCGGCUAACUCCGUGCCAGCAGCCGCGGUAAUACGGAGGGUGCAAGCGUUAAUCGGAAUUACUGGGCGUAAAGCGCACGCAGGCGGUUGAUUGAGUCAGAUGUGAAAUCCCCGGGCUUAACCCGGGAAGUGCGUCUGAUACUGGUCAGCUAGAGUCUUGUAGAGGGGGGUAGAAUUCCAUGUGUAGCGGUGAAAUGCGUAGAGAUGUGGAGGAAUACCGGUGGCGAAGGCGGCCCCCUGGACAAAGACUGACGCUCAGGUGCGAAAGCGUGGGGAGCAAACAGG
rnacentral:rRNA from 1 species